UGUCGAAUGCCAUGCAGAAAGACCCGCGAACAUGUUAUGUAUACUUCUGGAAAAAAUUGAGCGGUGGACCUAGUUGUCGCCUUCUAUUUGUUCCUUCUCAAGUGGGUGCAAGGUCCUUCUGGAAACUUGUUCAUUCACUUGUCAAAUAACGAAACCCGGCGCAAACCGCGCCAAGGAAAAUCUUGGAAAAAAAUGCAUGCCUACACCCAUUCGUGGGCUGUGGCGCUCGCAUAUUUCGUAAAACUAAACGACUCUCGGCAACGGAUAUCUCGGCUCUUGCAUCGAUGAAGAACGUAGCGAAAUGCGAUACUUGGUGUGAAUUGCAGAAUCCCGUGAACCAUCGAGUCUUUGAACGCAAGUUGCGCCUGAAGCCAUUAGGUUGAAGGCACGUCUGCCUGGGCGUCACGCAUCCCGUCACCCACCAGCCUUGUCCUUCCAUGGGCACAUGAAUGCGUGGGUGGAUAUUGGCCUCCCGUGCACGUUCGUGCUUGGUUGGUCUAAAAACGCAGUCCCCGACGACGGACAUCACAACUAGUGGUGGUUGUUUAACUG
rnacentral:misc_RNA from 1 species